rnacentral:ncRNA from 1 species
UACCUGAUUGAUUCUGUCAGCGCGAUAUGCUCAAGUAAAAGAUUAAGCCAUGCAUGCUUUGAUUCAUAAAUGAAAUUGCGUACGGCUCAUUAGAGCAGAUAUCACCUUUCUCGGAAUCCUGAAAAGGAUAACUGCGGAAAUUCUGGAGCUAAUACAUGCGACUAUACUCCAACGCAAGGCGGGGUGCAAUUAUUAGAACAGACCAAACGUUUUCGGACGUUGUUUGUUGACUCUGAAUACCGUCGUUUACUGUCAGUUUCGACUGACUCUAUCCGAGAAGGGUGUCUGCCCUUUCAACUAGAUGGUAAUCUAUUGGACUACCAUGGUUGUUACGGGUAACGGAGAAUUAGGGUUCGACUCCGGAGAGGGAGCCUUAGAAACGGCUACCACGUCCAAGGAAGGCAGCAGGCGCGAAACUUAUCCACUGUUGAGUAUGAGAUAGUGACUAAAAAUAUAAAGACUCAUCCUUUUGGAUGAGUUAUUUCAAUGAGUUGAAUAUAAAUUAUUCUUCGAGUAGCAAGGAGAGGGCAAGUCUGGUGCCAGCAGCCGCGGUAAUUCCAGCUCUCCUAGUGUAUCUCGUUAUUGCUGCGGUUAAAAAGCUCGUAGUUGGAUCUAGGUUACGUGCCGCAGUUCGCAAUUUGCGUUAACUGUGGUCGUGACUUCUAAUUUGCUGGUUUGAGGUUGGGUUCGCCCUUCAACUGCCAGCAGGUUUACCUUGAAUAAAUCAGAGUGCUCAAUACAGGCGCUUGCUUGAAUAGCUCAUCAUGGAAUAAUGAAACAGGACUUCGGUUCUUUUUGUUGGUUCUAGAAUUGAUCUAAUGGUUAAGAGGGACAAACCGGGGGCAUUCGUAUCAUUACGCGAGAGGUGAAAUUCGUGGACCGUAGUGAGACGCCCAAUAGCGAAAGCAUUUGCCAAGAAUGUCUUCAUUAAUCAAGACGAAAGUCAGAGGUUCGAAGGCGAUUAGAUACCGCCCUAGUUCUGACCGUAAACGAUGCCAUCUCGCGAUUCGGAGGGUUCAUGCCCUACCGAGGAGCUUACCCGG